rnacentral:tRNA from 2 species
GGCCCAGUAGCUCAGUUGGUUAGAGCAGCGGACUCAUAAUCCGUUGGUCCGAGGUUCGAGUCCUCGCUGGGCCA